rnacentral:rRNA from 1 species
AGUGAACGCUGGCGGCAGGCCUAACACAUGCAAGUCGAACGGCAGCACAGUAAGAGCUUGCUCUUACGGGUGGCGAGUGGCGGACGGGUGAGGAAUACAUCGGAAUCUACUUUUUCGUGGGGGAUAACGUAGGGAAACUUACGCUAAUACCGCAUACGACCUACGGGUGAAAGCAGGGGAUCUUCGGACCUUGCGCGAUUGAAUGAGCCGAUGUCGGAUUAGCUAGUUGGCGGGGUAAAGGCCCACCAAGGCGACGAUCCGUAGCUGGUCUGAGAGGAUGAUCAGCCACACUGGAACUGAGACACGGUCCAGACUCCUACGGGAGGCAGCAGUGGGGAAUAUUGGACAAUGGGCGCAAGCCUGAUCCAGCCAUACCGCGUGGGUGAAGAAGGCCUUCGGGUUGUAAAGCCCUUUUGUUGGGAAAGAAAAGCAGCAGGUUAAUACCCCGCUGUUCUGACGGUACCCAAAGAAUAAGCACCGGCUAACUACGUG